rnacentral:rRNA from 1 species
GACAGAGGGGGCAAGCGUUGCUCGGAAUCACUGGGCGUAAAGCGCACGUAGGCGGCUUACUAAGUCAGGGGUGAAAUCCUGGAGCUCAACUCCAGAACUGCCUUUGAUACUGGUAAGCUCGAGUCCGGGAGAGGUGAGUGGAACUGCGAGUGUAGAGGUGAAAUUCGUAGAUAUUCGCAAGAACACCAGUGGCGAAGGCGGCUCACUGGCCCGGUACUGACGCUGAGGUGCGAAAGCGUGGGGAGCAAACAGG